AGUGAACGCUGGCGGUAGGCCUAACACAUGCAAGUCGAACGGCAGCACAGUAAGAGCUUGCUCUUACGGGUGGCGAGUGGCGGACGGGUGAGGAAUACAUCGGAAUCUACUUUUUCGUGGGGGAUAACGUCGGGAAACUUACGCUAAUACCGCAUACGACCUACGGGUGAAAGCAGGGGAUCUUCGGACCUUGCGCGAUUGAAUGAGCCGAUGUCGGAUUAGCUAGUUGGCGGGGUAAAGACCCACCAAGGCGACGAUCCGUAGCUGGUCUGAGAGGAUGAUCAGCCACACUGGAACUGAGACACGGUCCAGACUCCUACGGGAGGCAGCAGUGGGGAAUAUUGGACAAUGGGCGCAAGCCGGAUCCAGCCAUACCGCGUGGGUGAAGAAGGCCUUCGGGUUGUAAAGCCCUUUUGUUGGGAAAGAAAAGCAGCAGGUUAAUACCCCGCUGUUCUGACGGUACCCAAAGAAUAAGCACCGGCUAACUUCGUG
rnacentral:rRNA from 1 species